rnacentral:rRNA from 1 species
UACGUAGGGGGCUAGCGUUGUCCGGAAUCAUUGGGCGUAAAGCGCGUGUAGGCGGCCCGGUAAGUCCGCUGUGAAAGUCGGGGGCUCAACCCUCGGAUGCCGGUGGAUACUGUCGGGCUCGAGUGCGGAAGAGGCGAGUGGAAUUCCUGGUGUAGCGGUGGAAUGCGCAGAUAUCAGGAGGAACACCUAUAGCGAAGGCAGCUCGCUGGGACGACACUGACGCUGAGACGCGAAAGCGUGGGGAGCGAACAGG